AAGUCGUAACAAGGUUUCCGUAGGUGAACCUGCGGAAGGAUCAUUAACACGUAUCCAACGUUAAACCCCCCCGUGAACGUACAUUCCUUCUCCGCUUACAGAAAAUUGGUUGCAAUCCCUGGUAAAUCAUCGCCAAACAGUUUCUGAUUAUUUUUAUCUUUGGAAGUAGAAAGUGUACGAGAUGCUGUAAGGUAGACUGCUUUAACGAGCGGGUACCAGUAGGCCGACACGGCCGGUAUCGGAUCCUGGGCGUCGUUCCUAUAGGAACGAGUACACGUCCCUCUUGACCCCUUGAAACGACAGGGUGUCGCGAAAACGUGGUAAGGCAUGAUUUUACUUGUACCGAAAGGUCCAAGUACUAACUGAACAACUGUUAACAAUGGAUAUCUUGGUUCUC
rnacentral:misc_RNA from 1 species